rnacentral:rRNA from 1 species
GAACGCUGGCGGCGGGCUUAACACAUGCAAGUCGAACGAUGAAGCGGUGCUUGCACCGUGGAUUAGUGUUUUUCGGGUGAGUAAUACGUGAGCGACCUACCUUUGACUCUGGGAUAAGCCUGGGAAACUGGGUCUAAUACCGGAUACGACCAAUCUCUGCAUGGGGUGUUGGUGGAAAGCGUUAUGGAGUGGUUUUAGAUGGGCUCACGGCCUAUCAGCUUGUUGGUGAGGUAAUGGCUUACCAAGGCGACGACGGGCAGCCGGCCUGAGAGGGUGACCGGCCACACUGGGACUGAGACACGGCCCAGACUCCUACGGGAGGCAGCAGUGGGGAAUAUUGCACAAUGGGCGCAAGCCUGAUGCAGCGACGCCGCGUGAGGGAUGACGGCCUUCGGGUUGUAAACCUCUGUUAGCAUCGAAGAAGCGAAAGUGACGGUAGGUGCAGAGAAAGCGCCGGCUAACUACGUGCCAGCAGCCGCGGUAAUACGUACGGCGCGAGCGUUGUCCGGAAUUAUUGGGCGCUAAGAGCUUGUAGGCGGUUGGUCGCGUCUGCUGUGAAAGGCCGGGGCUUAACUCCCCGUUUUGCAGUGGGUACGGGCUAACUAGAGUGCAGUAGGGGAGACUGGAAUUCCUGGUGUAGCGGUGGAAUGCACAGAUAUCAGGAGGAACACCGAUGGCGAAGGCAGGUCUCUGGGCUGUAACUGACGCUGAGAAGCGAAAGCAUGGGGAGCGAACAGGAUUAGAUACCCUGGUAGUCCAUGCCGUAAACGUUGGGCACUAGGUGUGGGGGACAUUCCACGUUUUCCGCGCCGUAGCUAACGCAUUAAGUGCCCCGCCUGGGGAGUACGGCCGCAAGGCUAAAACUCAAAGGAAUUGACGGGGGCCCGCACAAGCGGCGGAGCAUGCGGAUUAAUUCGAUGCAACGCGAAGAACCUUACCAAGGCUUGACAUGCAUUAGAUCGCGUCAGAGAUGGCGUUUCCCUUCGGGGCUGGUGUACAGGUGGUGCAUGGUUGUCGUCAGCUCGUGUCGUGAGAUGUUGGGUUAAGUCCCGCAACGAGCGCAACCCUCGUUCUAUGUUGCCAGCGGUUCGGCCGGGGACUCAUAGGAGACUGCCGGGGUCAACUCGGAGGAAGGUGGGGAUGACGUCGAAUCAUCAUGCCCCUUAUGUCUUGGGCUUCACGCAUGCUACAAUGGCCGGUACAGAGGGUUGCGAUACUGUGAGGUGGAGCUAAUCCCUUAAAGCCGGUCUCAGUUCGGAUUGGGGUCUGCAACUCGACCCCAUGAAGUCGGAGUCGCUAGUAAUCGCAGAUCAGCAACGCUGCGGUGAAUACGUUCCCGGGCCU